UACGUAGGCAGCGAGCGUUGUUCGGAAUUACUGGGCGUAAAGAGUGUGUAGGCGGUGCUCUAAGUUCGGUGUGAAAUCUCCCGGCUUAACUGGGAGGGUGCGCCGGAAACUGGAGUGCUCGAACGUGGGAGAGGAAAGCGGAAUUCCCGGUGUAGCGGUGAAAUGCGUAGAUAUCCGGAGGAACACCGGUGGCGAAGGCGGCUUCCUGGACCGACACUGACGCUGAGGCGCGAAAGCUAGGGGAGCAAACGGG
rnacentral:rRNA from 1 species